UACGAACCGUCCAAACGUUAUUCGGAUUUAUUGGGCUUAAAGGGUAUGUAGGCGGCCCUUCAAGUCGGGUGUGAAAUCCCUCGGCUCAACCGAGGAACUGCGCCCGAUACUGUGGGGCUCGAGGGAGACAGAGGUAAGCGGAACUGAUGGUGGAGCGGUGAAAUGCGUUGAUAUCAUCAGGAACACCAGUGGCGAAAGCGGCUUACUGGGUCUCUUCUGACGCUGAGAUACGAAAGCUAGGGGAGCGAACGGG
rnacentral:rRNA from 1 species